UUGCCUUAGAGCAUCAAGAGUAAGCUUGGGUUGCCACAUUGACUACGACAAAUUUGGUCAUGUCAUAUCAUUAUGAUUAUUUAUUGCCACGUUACUUAUCCUCCACUUCUAAGUCUCAACCAUCUUCUUUGAUUCAAGUGAAGGAAGUACUUGCAUCAUCAGAUUCUAUGCUACCCCGAAGAGGCCAUUAAAUUCUAAGUGGGAGCUCCCCAAAGGGCAAGUUCUCUCGUUUUGCCUUUCUAAAGUAGCAUUGGCCAUCUGGAGGUGGGAGGAUGUGAUAUAUGCCUGCUGAUCUAGAUAGAGAGAUGAUCAGUCAAGUUGAUUUAGACCAUUUGGGGCUCUAUAUAUGGGGAGUGAGCUCCAACAGUUCUGUCAUAGUUGGAGAGCUUCUUGAAAUCCUCUUAAGUUCACUUUGCCACAUCGAGAGUCUCUACAGGGCCAGUCGGCUAAGAUCUCUCAGUAGAUACCU
rnacentral:lncRNA from 1 species